GCGGAAGUGGUGGAAUUGGUAUACACGUAGGUCUCAGAAGCCUAUGGCGCAAGCCUUGAGAGUUCGAGUCUCUCCUUCCGCA
rnacentral:tRNA from 1 species